rnacentral:rRNA from 1 species
GAUUCUUCGGAUGAUUUUCAGUUGACUGAGCGGCGGACGGGUGAGUAACGCGUGGGUGACCUGCCCCAUGCCGGGGGAUAACAGCUGGAAACGGCUGCUAAUACCGCAUAAGCGCACAGAGCUGCAUGGCUCAGUGUGAAAAACUCCGGUGGUAUGGGAUGGGCCCGCGUCUGAUUAGGCAGUUGGCGGGGUAACGGCCCACCAAACCGACGAUCAGUAGCCGGCCUGAGAGGGCGACCGGCCACAUUGGGACUGAGACACGGCCCAAACUCCUACGGGAGGCAGCAGUGGGGAAUAUUGCACAAUGGGGGAAACCCUGAUGCAGCGACGCCGCGUGAGCGAAGAAGUAUUUCGGUAUGUAAAGCUCUAUCAGCAGGGAAGAUAAUGACGGUACCUGACUAAGAAGCCCCGGCUAACUACGUGCCAGCAGCCGCGGUAAUACGUAGGGGGCAAGCGUUAUCCGGAUUUACUGGGUGUAAAGGGAGCGUAGACGGCAAGGCAAGUCUGAUGUGAAAACCCAGGGCUUAACCCUGGGACUGCAUUGGAAACUGUCUGGCUCGAGUGCCGGAGAGGUAAGCGGAAUUCCUAGUGUAGCGGUGAAAUGCGUAGAUAUUAGGAAGAACACCAGUGGCGAAG